rnacentral:lncRNA from 1 species
CUUUACCCUCCACCUUAGAGUUCUGGUUGUCUUCAGAGCAGCACUGUCUGGUGGCAACACGUGAGCCACAUGGGUAGUUUGAGCUGGAGGGUGCAGCUCCAUGGCAGGGGCUUGCCCAGCAUGAGCAAGGCCCCGGGUUCAUCCCCAGCACCACAUAAAUAAGUGAAAAAAGGAAAACAAUAGAUGAGAUAUACUUUAUUAAGCACAGCAUAUCACAACGUGUAACUAAGGAAAAAAAUACAAUUUUGGUAUUUUACCUUCUUGUUUUUCUGUUGAGUCUAAACUCCGAAGUCUGGCCUCCACACAGGCUGUGUCUCGGGCCCAGAGCCACCUUGUGGAGCUGGACCCACUCUGUCCAGCACCCCGUCCACUCCUGCGCCUCUGUCAUCUGCUGUGGAGCCCUGGUGACAUCCCUAAGGCACUUGCUGGCCAGCACGGGCAAGCACCUCUGCUCACAGGGCCUGGGCUCAUGUGCGUCCUGCCGGUGGGCCUCUUCCUGCCUGCCUGGGCUCUGGCAGUGCUGUCCCCUUCUCCUCUGCCUGCCACACUGCACUGGGUUUCAGGGCCCUGUGUCACCGGCCAGGCCCGGCACAGAGGGGACUUGACUCUGUGGGGAUGAGUGAGUGAAUUGGG